GGCGCGCCAGGGGAUGGGGUGCCCCCUACAACCGCCGAAGAGGCUGAUGACUCCUGCUCAAUG
rnacentral:ncRNA from 2 species